GGUCGACGCGACGCCGCGGGAACACCGGCGGCCCGAGUGGUGAUCGUGAUUAUUGGGUCUAAAGGGUCCGUAGCCGGUUGGUCAGUCCUCCGGGAAAUCUGAUAGCUCAACUAUUAGGCUUUCGGGGGAGUACUGCCAGACUUGGAACCGGGAGAGGUAAGAGGUACUACAGGGGUAGGAGUGAAAUCUUGUAAUCCCUGUGGGACCACCUGUGGCGAAGGCGUCUUACCAGAACGGGUUCGACGGUGAGGGACGAAAGCUGGGGGCACGAACCGGAUUAGAUACCCGGGUAGUCCCAGCCGUAAACGAUGCUCGCUAGGUGUCAGGCAUGGCGCGACCGUGUCUGGUGCCGCAGGGAAGCCGUGAAGCGAGCCACCUGGGAAGUACGGCCGCAAGGCUGAAACUUAAAGGAAUUGGCGGGGGAGCACAACAACGGGUGGAAGCCUGCGGUUUAAUUGGACUCAACGCCGGACAACUCACCGGGGGCGACAGCAAUAUGUAGGCCAAGCUGAAGACUUUGCCUGAAUCGCUGAGAAGAGGUGCAUGG
rnacentral:rRNA from 1 species